rnacentral:rRNA from 1 species
AGAGUUUGAUCCUGGCUCAGAGUGAACGCUGGCGGCGUGGAUUAGGCAUGCAAGUCGCGCGAUAAUUUGUUGAGUGAGGCCGCAAGGCCGAGUGAGACUUUUUAUAGCGGCAAACGGGUGAGGAACACGUGAGCAAUCUUCCCUUAAGUCUGGCAUAGCUUCGUGAAAACGGAGGUAAUUCCGGAUAGUAUCAUUGUAACGCAUGUUGCGAUGAUUAAAGGUGGGGACCGCAAGGCCCACUGCUUUUGGAUGAGCUCGCGUCCUAUCAGCUAGUUGGUGAGGUAACGGCCCACCGAGGCGUUUGACGGGUAGCUGGUCUGAGAGGAUGGUCAGCCACACUGGGACUGAGACACUGCCCAGACUCCUACGGGAGGCUGCAGUCGAGAAUAUUUAGCAAUGGGCGAAAGCCUGACUAUGCGACGCCGCGUGAGGGAUGAAGGUCUUCGGAUUGUAAACCUCUUUUGUCAGGGAAGAAACUUCUGCAGCUAAUAGCAUGCAGAAUUGCCGGUACCUGACGAAUAAGCCACGGCCAACUCCGUGCCAGCAGCCGCGGUAAUACGGAGGUGGCAAGCGUUACUCGGAAUCAUUGGGUGUAAAGGGCAAGUAGGCGGUUUGAUAAGUGAGGGGUGAAAUCUCCCGACUCAAUCGGGAAAUUGCCUUUCAAACUAUCGGACUUGAGGCAGGUAGGGGGGAGUGGAAUUCUCAGUGUAAGGGUGAAAUCUGUAGAUAUUGAGAAGAACACCGGCGGCGAAGGCGACUUCCUGGACCUGUCCUGACGCUGAGUUGCGAAAGCUAGGGGAGCAAACAGAAUUAGAUACUCUGGUAGUC